GACGAACGCUGGCGGCGCGCUUAACACAUGCAAGUCGAACGGAAAGGCCUGCUUUCCCUUGUGGAUUGCGGGUACUCGAGUGGCGAACGGGUGAGUAACACGUGAGUGAUCUGCCCCCAACUUGGGUAUAAGCCUGGGAAACUGGGUCUAAUUCCCGAUAGGACUGCAGGGUGGUGCCUGUGGUGGAAAACGAUUUUCUAGUGGUUGGGGAUGAGCUAUCGGCCUAUCAGCUGGUUGGUGGGGUAAUGGACUAUCAAGGCGGCGGCGGGUAGCCGGGCUGGGAGGGUGAACCGGGAAAUGGGAACCGGCACACAGCCCAGAGUGCUGCGGGAGGGAGGAGUGGGGGACAAUGGGCAGAGGGCGGAAGCCUGAAGGCGGGACGCGGGGUGGGGGAUUACGGGUUUCGGGGUGUAAACUCCUAGCGAGCGCGAGGAAGCCACCUGGUUGGAAGGGUGGUGACGGUAGUGGUAGAAGAAGCACCGGCUAACUACGUG
rnacentral:rRNA from 1 species